rnacentral:tRNA from 1 species
GCGGGCAUAGCUCAGUCGGUUAGAGCGCCAGAUUGUGGCUCUGGAGGUCGCCGGUUCAAUUCCGGUUGCUCGCCCCA